rnacentral:rRNA from 1 species
GACGAACGCUGGCGGCGUGCUUAACACAUGCAAGUCGAACGGAAAGGCCCUGCUUUUGUGGGGUGCUCGAGUGGCGAACGGGUGAGUAACACGUGAGUAACCUGCCCUUGACUUUGGGAUAACUUCAGGAAACUGGGGCUAAUACCGGAUAGGAGCUCCUGCUGCAUGGUGGGGGUUGGAAAGUUUCGGCGGUUGGGGAUGGACUCGCGGCUUAUCAGCUUGUUGGUGGGGUAGUGGCUUACCAAGGCUUUGACGGGUAGCCUGCCUGAGAGGGUGAACGGCGACAUUGGGACUGAGAUACGGACCAGACUCCUACGGGAGGCAGAAGUGGGGAAUAUUGCACAAUGGGCGGAAGCCUGAUGCAGCAACGCCGCGUGCGGGAUGACGGCCUUCGGGUUGUAAACCGCUUUCGCCUGUGACGAAGCGUGCGUGACGGUAAUGGGUCAAGAAGCACCGGCUAACUACGUG